rnacentral:rRNA from 1 species
UACGGAGGGUGCGAGCGUUGUCCGGAAUCACUGGGCGUAAAGGGCGCGUAGGCGGCCUUCUAAGUCGAACGUGAAAUCCCCGGGCUCAACCCGGGAACUGCGUCCGAUACUGGAUGGCUUGAAUUCGGGAGAGGGAUGCAGAAUUCCAGGUGUAGCGGUGAAAUGCGUAGAUAUCUGGAGGAAUACCGGUGGCGAAGGCGGCAUCCUGGACCGAGAUUGACGCUGAUGAGCGAAAGCUAGGGGAGCAAACGGG